ACGGAGUUGGCCGGGGCUUCUUCUGCAGGUACCGUCAUCAACUUCCCUGCUGAAAGAGCUUUACAACCCUAAGGCCUUCUUCACUCACGCGGCAUGGCUGGAUCAGGCUUGCGCCCAUUGUCCAAUAUUCCCC
rnacentral:rRNA from 1 species